rnacentral:rRNA from 1 species
UACGAAGGGGGCUAGCGUUGCUCGGAAUUACUGGGCGUAAAGGGAGCGUAGGCGGAUAGUUUAGUCAGAGGUGAAAGCCCAGGGCUCAACCUUGGAAUUGCCUUUGAUACUGGCUAUCUUGAGUACGGAAGAGGUAUGUGGAACUCCGAGUGUAGAGGUGAAAUUCGUAGAUAUUCGGAAGAACACCAGUGGCGAAGGCGACAUACUGGUCCGUUACUGACGCUGAGACGCGAAGGCGUGGGGAGCGAACGGG